GACAGAGGGUGCAAACGUUGUUCGGAAUUACUGGGCGUAAAGCGCGUGUAGGCGGCUAUGUAAGUCGGGCGUGAAAUCCCACGGCUCAACCGUGGAAGUGCACCCGAAACUGCGUAGCUAGAGUCCUGGAGAGGAAGGUGGAAUGCUUGGUGUAGAGGUGAAAUUCGUAGAUAUCAAGCGGAACACCGGUGGCGAAGGCGGCCUUCUGGACAGUGACUGACGCUGAGACGGCGAAAAGCGUGGGGAGCAAACAGG
rnacentral:rRNA from 1 species